UUUGUCCAUGAUGAACAACAUCCACUUACCUACAUUGUUUGAGGUCUUCUCCUCUGAAAUCACCCACAUGCACUACCAACUGAGACAGA